AAAAUUCAAUUCUGUUGAAAUGUUUACUCCAAGAAGCAAUGUGUUUUUGAGAGCUAAUCCUGAUAUAUUCAAAUCUUAACGACUUAAGUUGAUGGAGUGGACUUCUUUUAAAUUAGUGAUUCCCUAAUUUACCUGACAGUUGGAAUUUCCAGGCCAUGUUGAAAAUACAGAUUAUCCAGACUCUUACCUCUGCAGAUGUAUUUAGUGGUUCUAAAAUGGCACCCAGGAGUCUGGAUUUUUCCCAGGGGCCUUGUGUAAUUCACACUGAUGACCAGGCAAGUUUGGGAAAUUGUGCCUUAAGGAGAUUUUUCAUUAAGCAGUCUUCAUUUGAAAAGAGGAUCAUUUAUCUUCUAAUACCCCAUGCUUCCUCUUUCUCCUGCUCUUUGUCUCCUGUUGUCUUUCAGUUCCUAGAAGCUUUAAUUGAAAGUUCCUCAUGGAUCUGUACCUACUAAAAACCACACUUCUGAAGCUACGUGGCCACCAGAAGACACAGCUAGUCUGCCAUGUAAAAAAGGAAAGGUGGCGUGUGCCCUGAAGGUGCAGGGGUGAGAGGCAGGGAAAUGGAGACCCCCACAGCCAGCAGCAGUGGCCCUCAUCACAGCCCUCCAGGAGAUAGGAAAGGAGACAACGCCAUUAUUGACGAGAUCACUCCCAAGCGGAUUGGAGAUUGUUCCAAUACUUAGACCUAUAGCAAGGCCUUGGGAGAAAUGGUGGUGCAGCAGGAGAGCAGGAACCUAACCAUUGCCAUCCUAAGGCCCUCCAUUGUGCGGAGCAACGUGGCACCAGCUUUUCCCAGGUUGGGUUGAUAAUCUAAGUGGAUGUAGCCGACUCAUUAUUGCGGUAUGUAUAGGGAUGAGGAAGUAACUGUAACGUAGCGGAGGAAUAGUAACAAAAUUCUUAGUGCUGGCUUAGCUUCAUUGAUCCAAAAACAGAAAUGCUACUUUACUAUCAAUUGAAGCAUAUUAUUUCAAUUAUCUGGUUAUAAUAUGGAGGCAGGAUGAAAUUAUUUUUAUUCUUUUAGAAUUUUUUUUAUCAGGCAAACAGAGGUAAAGUGCUAUCAAUUACUAUUUAAGAGUUCUAUUUUGAAAAGUGAGAAUUAAGGAUUUUUCUUUUCUUUUUAAAAAAACUUUUUUAAAAAUUAAAAAUAAAACAAGCAAAAGUCUUAUGAAAAUGAAGCAAGUAGCCCUGCCACUCUAUGUACAGUAAUAACAAUAUUUGUCACAGUUAUUAUGUACAAUAUUAUAAAAAAUGUCGCAGACAGUACAUAUUAAGGCCCUUAUUUCUCAAGGGACAUCAAGUCUUAUGCCCCGUGGGAGGGAAGAUGCCACUUAAUUAUUGCACCAUUUUGAAAAACAGAACUCGUCAAGGCGGAUAGUGGUCUUUUCCCACCUGGUCUUCAGUCACAGAUGGGGGCUGGGGCGGUGGCGCCGUCUUCGUCGUCGAGGUAGACCCUAUGUAGCCACACCGCCCUGCUCGGUUCUCUGGGUGCAAUAAAUACCAGUCACAGUUUGGGAGGGGGCCGUGCACAGGUGGGGAGGCCUCUGGGCUGCAUGUGCCGCUUCCUGUGCAGGGCAAGGUGGGCAGAGCGCAAGAAG